ensembl:lncRNA
GCAUUCUACGCAAAGAAGACUAAAUUAAGCAGAGGACCUAACCACAAAGAAGAGCCCUCCAGUCUGGAGGACACAGGCUCGGUGAGAACUAGCUGUUGGACUCGACUCGGCCUCCAUGGAACAGAGUCGUACCUGCUAGAACGUUCUUUGUUGCCCUUAUAUUCUGCCACAAACAGCUGGGAAGAGGGUUAAGGAUGAACAGAAAGACAAGUCAUAGGUGAAGCCUUGCUCAGCCCAAGGCACAGGCAUUGCCUCAGUGAAUCCCCACCAGACCUCAGUGAGGUGGGUGAAAUUACUCUCAUUUUACAAGACACGGGAACUGAGGCCCAGUGCGGGGGAGCAACUUGUACAAGGCUGUUGUGGCUUGGCCGUAUCCCCCAAAGAGACGCUGAAGCCUUAACCCCUGGUACCUGUGAACGUAAUCUUGUUUGGAAAAGGGUCUUUGAAAGUGUAAUAAGAUGCAAAUUGAGAUAAGGUCAUACUGGAGUAGAGCGAGCCCUUCAUCUCAGGUGACUGGUGUCCUUAUAAGAAAAGAAGAAGAGACACGGAGACAAACACACACAGAGACUAACGCCACGUGGAAACACAGCCACGCACAGAAAGGAGACAACGUAAAGAAGUCAUGUGACAGGGGAGGCAGAGAUUUUGAGGAAAGCCCCGCUGGCAACAGUAGAAGCUAAGAGAAAAGCAUGGAACAGACUCUCCAUAGAGUCCCUCAGAGAGAGCAGGGCCCGGCCAACACCUUGGUUUCAGGCUUCUAGCCUCCAGAACUAUGAGAGGAGACAUCGCUGUUGUUUCGAGCCACUUAGCUUGCAGUAAUUGGUUAUGGCAGCCUCAGGGGGCUAAUACAAGGGUUAAAAUGGUUGGGACAUACUUCGCAAUGGCUGGAUAUCCUUUACCUAAAGUGAUAAAGAGAAACACGCUCCGUGCAGGAAUUCCGACACAUUUCAAAGAAUUCCAGAGAUAAAUGGGAAACACAUGACAGGAAAUGAAGAACUGGGGAACUCCCUCCACGGCCCGCAUUCUACCAGGUGCUGAGGCUUCAGGGAUGGGUCAGCUGUGGUCCCUGCCCUGGAGAGCAGGGAUCCGGGGAUGCUGGCGUCAUCCUCCCGGCGUACGGAUGAGGUCCUCAGUAGUGGAGACGGAAUCGUAAAGGAGAUCUUGAGCGGUUGGAUGCCAGACCCCAGCACAGGCAGGAGCUGGAGACAUCUUCUUAGAAUGCAGAUGAUUAAAGCUGUGCUUGGUGGCUCUGUGGGAUUAGACCUGGUGACAGGAAGGGGUGGCAACUGAGCAACUCCGUGUAAGGACUUCUGGCAGUCCUUAUGGCCACACUCGGGAGGUCAGGGGCCCUAAGGAGAAAGGCUCUCUGGUGCCGAAGCCACAUGUUGGCAAGAAGGGGAAGGCUUGAGACUUUCCCAGCAGCACUGGAAUCGCAGGGUGAUCAAUUUCCUGGGGCUCUGGUAGCUGUGGGUUUUUACAGACAGACAGGCACGAUGCCCGAGCUGGUUCUGAGUGACUGAUCUAGCAGGAGAGGAGCUUGAGAGCCGACGGCUAUGCCCAGACACAUUCUUGGGCCCUGCUUCUCUCAGAUGAGUUUAUUCCUCUGGAACCAGUCAAGCCAGUUCAGGGGCUGGAGAACUACUGUCAUUGAGCCAAACCCAUGGGCUUCUGAGCUGUGAUAUAUCGCUUUGCCCUUCUCUCAAGGGACAUGACAUCAUCUCGGCACAGACACUCAGCCAGUUGCUCAAGAUGCCUUUCUUUUCCUAUGGCUUCAAAAAGUCUGCAGCAUGCUUUUGAGCAGUGGAAGAUAAAGAAUGAGUUUCUGCCCCUUCUCUAGGGAGUUUAGUGGAAUCAAAAUAAAUCACCAUGAACCUGCUGGAAUGACCGUUUUACUGGGAAGAGGAGGGGGCAGAAACAGGAAGUCCCUUUGGGAACUGGAACAAUGCUUACUGAACUGGACACCCCCAAACAGCACCGCCACCCUCCACACCCCGUGAACAGGGCAAUGCAAAAACGCCCAAGUCUGCUGGAGACGGUCAGUGUCUUCCAGGUCUGAGCACCCAGUCUGUCCUGGGGCUUAUGAAAAAGGCAACGUGAGACUCUGCUGUGCAAAGAAGAGUCCUUUAUGUGCCCCACCCUGAACCAUUCCAGACAGCAGAGGUGUCAGGGGACGGACUGGAGUUUUGGUGUGGUUUGUACUCAAUAAAAUGCUUAGA